UACAGAGGUCCCAAGCGUUGUUCGGAUUCACUGGGCGUAAAGGGUGCGUAGGCGGUCGGGUAAGUCCGAUGUGAAAUCUCGGAGCUCAACUCCGAAAUGGCAUCUGAUACUAUCUGGCUGGAGGAUUGGAGAGGGGACUGGAAUUCUCGGUGUAGCAGUGAAAUGCGUAGAGAUCGAGAGGAACACCGGUGGCGAAGGCGAGUCCCUGGACAAUUCCUGGCGCUGAGGCACGAAAGAUAGGGGAGCAAACAGG
rnacentral:rRNA from 1 species